UUGUUAUUAAGAAAGGCAGAGGGAUUAGACCCGUUGAAGCCUUAGCAACCCUUUGCCCUGCAAAGAAGGUGCUAAAUUCUACCAAAUUGGAUAGAUAACAA
rnacentral:ncRNA from 2 species